CAUGUCAUUAACAAUUCUAGGUUUAAAUAGCCAAGCCCUUAGUUUUAAAGGUAACUAUAAAUGUAAUAUGUUUUAAUAUUGUUAAAUAGUUGUGUAUCAAUUUUUUAAAUAAAUUUUAUGUCCCCAGACUAAUUUUCCUAGGAAAUCAUCCCCCCGCCAAAUUAUGUAUGUAUGUGCCUGUCCUAAGUCAGGAGCCUGUAAUUCAGUGGUGGUCGUCUGUUCAUGUGUUACAUAUUUGUUUUUCGUUCAUUUUUUUUUUAUGUAAAUAAGACCGUUAGUUUUCUCGUUUGAUUUGUUUUACAUUGCCUUUCGGGGUCUUUUAUAGCUGACUAUGGGGUAUGGUCAUUGCUCAUUUAUGAAGGCCGUACGGUGACCUAUAGUUGUUAAUUUCUGUGUCAUUUUGGUUUCUUGUGGACAGUUGUCUCAUUGACAAUCAUACCACAUCUUCUUUUUCAUAUAAUACGAAUAACGUCGUUUAUUUAGACCAAACUUAUAAUGACA
rnacentral:lncRNA from 1 species